rnacentral:lncRNA from 1 species
UCGACGACCACUGCGGGCUGAUGCUUCCGUGGAACCCUUUCCACAUCCUGUUCGGGAACAACACGGCGUACCAUGACAUCCAUCACCAGCUCGCCGGCAACAAGCGCAACUUCGCGCAACCCUUCUUCGUGACAUGGGAUAAGAUAAUGGGGACUUACGUGCCUUACGCUGUGGUGAAGAGGGAGAAUGGUGGAUUCGAAGCCCGCGUAGCAAAACACUGAUGCUGUCCUUUGCUUCUCUGUGUUUUAGAAUUAAUUUAGUCAGACCGAAUAAAUUGAGUAUGUAAGAAAGAAAAACUCAUAAUUAUGUUAUUAUUAUACGAAAAUUUUUAUUAUUAAAGACUUCAGUCAAAUAACAAUAGAUCAAUACGUACCUUUUGAUAUCAUUCAAGAAGUCUUUAUCUAAUAUCUAGCUGCACUGUCGUUGAAUUUGAUAGCUACAGUCGAUAUCAAUAUGAAAGGAGAACAAAACUCUGCCAUUGUGAGAUGCAAAGAAAACAAAACUUGUCUUCUCCUUCGGACAUAUAAUAAAAAUAUAUAAUUUAUGAAAGAUAAAAUUAUCGAAAGGAAAUAAACAAGAAUUAAAGGAUUUAGAGGGGUAAAACUAUAUAUUUAGUAGUAAAACCUUAAGAUUCCCUUGCAAUCGCUCUAGUAGUUGUCGUUGUGUUACACUGCACUCAUGUGCGUGGAUCAUCAUCGAUCGUCUACCGCUUGUGUGCCAUUUGCAAUGGCAAAGUUGUUCUGAUG